GGGGACGUGGUGUACGGCACACCGCUGCAUUAAUUUGUUGAUUACUCUCCAGGGGCAUUAGGCAGCAGGCCGGGGUUCGACUCCCCGCGUCCCCA